rnacentral:tRNA from 1 species
CCCCUGGUGUCUCAGUGGUGAAGAAUCUGCCUGCAGUGCAGGAGAUGCAGGUUCUAUCCCUGGCUUGGGAA